UACGUAGGGGGCUAGCGUUGUCCGGAUUUAUUGGGCGUAAAGAGCGUGUAGGCGGCCAUGUAGGUCCGGUGUGAAAACUCGAGGCUUAACCUCGAGAUGUCAUCGGAAACCAUUUGGCUAGAGUCCGGAAGAGGAGAGUGGAAUUCCUGGUGUAGCGGUGAAAUGCGCAGAUAUCAGGAGGAACACCAUGGCGAAGGCAGCUCGCUGGAACGGUACUGACGCUGAGGCGCGAAAGCGUGGGGAGCGAACAGG
rnacentral:rRNA from 1 species